GUAACCAUACAUCUGCUUCUGUAAGCCUGCUUCUGCUCCCCAAUGCCCUAUAAAAACCCGUCCCUGGUUCUGCUAGGCGCGCCAGUCUUCCAUAUUGACUGGGACGCCCACAGAUACCUGUGUAUCCUGAUCAAUAAAAAUCCUCUUACAGAUUACAGCCUGUGGACUCGGUCUGGUCAUUGGGCUUGAGGAUCUCCCUCCUGAGGGAAGAUUCUCUCUGAGAGUCUUACAUAUGGGGGCUCGUCCGGGAUGGGAGAUCCUCUGCCUAGAGACCACCGACCACCCUCCGGGAGAAAGAAAUCUGCUCACAGCUGACAGCAGCCUAUGCCCCGGAGACCCCUGAGACAUGUCAUCAGUUCCAGGUUAGAGACUACAGCUACACUGAGCCCAGACACUCGAGCCUCGCUGGAAAGGACUAUACCUGGUGAUGCUGACCACCCUGACAGCCGUCAAUUCUCAGCCCUCACCAGCAGCGUACUAGCUGUUGGGGCUGAGAGCUGGGACCUAGAGGGACACUCAGAUCUUCAAAAAGCUCCCUAGACUUAAGUGACUGAGAGGUUGCUAUAAUGCUCACUUGAAGAGUGUGUUUUAAAAACAAAAAUUUCAUGUUUGCCUGUUUGCCCUGGGUUCCCUCGGAAUAGGUGUAAGGAUAGGCUUGAUUUUUAUUGCAAAUGAUAUAACAUUACAUAUGUUAGUACUCCUAACACUUCUUGAGACUGUGCCUCAGGGAUCACAAUCUAUAUAAGUUUAAAAGUUCUAAAAGACCUUGGUGUAUAGGUUCAGAUAGUGUCCAGAUUAAAAUCCUGAUGCUAAAGACUUAAUAAGACACAAAAGAGAGUUAAAAAUUAUUUAAGGCUAUCUAGGUGCUACAAGGACAGCACAAGGACAUCUACAGUUGCCCUACAAUACAAGGCUUAUAGAGAAUUAGGAACUGCCAUUGACUCAGAUAUAAAAAGAAUAAAAAAGACUUUUUAGCUGACCUCCAAGAAUACUUAACCUCCCUCUCAGAGGUAGUCCUUCAAAAUAGGAAAAGAUUAGACCUGAUAUCCUUUAAAAAAGGAGUCUGUGUGCUACACUAAAAGAAGAAUGCUGUUUCUAUGCAGAUCAGACAGGAAUAAUAAGAGAUACAGACUUUCAGUCAUUCAAACUUUUGUGCUGAGACAACAGUAUCAGAUGGUGAAACAACAAAAAAACAGAGGUACCUUAACCAAGUUGAGUGGAAGAUUCCACUCAAAGACAAAAAAAGAAAAUGGGGGAAUGAAAGACCCCCUCCCAGAAAGGGAAUUGUACAAGCCCAAGGCCCUCAACUAUAGAAGUAAAAAGUAAGUUUUUAGAUAUGUGGGACAAGCUGACCCAUCAUUUAAACGAAACAGACCAGAAAAGAAAACAAAAUGCAGAAACCAGACUAAAUUAUGGACAUUGCUCCAUGGGCCACCUGGCAGGAAAAAGAAACAGUCCCUGACCCCCCGGAAGCCCUGACCACCAUGUACUUUUUGCUAACUCACUGUUAUGAUUAUAGCGAAAAUAGGUAACAUACACGUAUGCCUCAUUUACUCCACCAAUCACAUCCCUGUAACCAUACAUCCCUGGUUCUGCUAGGCGCGCCAGUCUUCCAAAUUGACUGGGAUGCCCACAGAUACCUGUGUAUCCUGAUCAAUAAAAAUCCUCUUACAGAUUACAGCCUGUGGACUCGGUCUGGUCAUUGGGCUUGAAGAUCUCCCUCCUGAGGGAAGAUUCUCUCUGAGAGUCUUACAAAUAGAAUGCUGGAAUAUGGACUAAAGACAUAGGAAACCUAUUCAGUGAGACAUUAUUAUUAGAAAGUCUCCUCUAUCUAUUGAAAUACUAGGACAUCCAAGUACAGAAAUAAUUAGACCACCUGAUAGAUGACCUAAAACAGUCUUGUCUUAUGCUGAGCUUGCAGAACAGGAGAACAAUACUGCAGGGUACUACAGAGGGGUGCCAAGGGACUUACAAAGUACCCAACUGACAAACCAUUCAGAACAACAGGGCAUUUCUUGAUAGAAAUCUUCAAGGCCAGAGCAUGGAACGAUGCACUCUGAGCACUCAGAAAAUAACUGAGAGCCAGCAUGGCAACAGAAAAAAGUGUCCUUUUAAAAACCUUCAGGAUGGGUGUGACUAAUGCAAUGUGUGACCACUGCGCCAUCACUGAAGAAGUUACUUACAGGAAAAUUCUAAACACAAGGAAGAAGACACAAUCAGGAGUGCAGGAGAAAUAAAUCUUGCAGUUCUAAGGAACCAACAGCAGUAACUCGGUAAGUGCUGGUGAGCUUUUCAUCAACGUGAUGCACGCACACUGGAGUCACCUGUGAAGAAGAGACCUCAGGUGAGCAACCGUACCCAUCAGGUUGGCAAGGCUGUUGGGGCGUUUUUGAUGGAUGAUUGAUGUGGGAGGGCCCAGCCCACUCUGGGUUCCUGGAGUGUUUAAGAAAGCAGGCUGAGCAAGCCAUGAGGAACAACUAGUAACGCGUAUUCCUCCAUGGUCUCUGAUUCAGUCCCUGCCCGAGUUCCUGCCUUGGUGUCUCGCAGGGAUGGAUUGUGAUGUGGAAGGGUUAAGCCAAAUAAACUUUCUCCUCCCCAAGUUGCUUUUCAUCAUGGUGUUUUACCACAGCAAUAGAGAGCAAACUAACAUCGAGACAGCAAACUUCUAGGAAGAAAAAAAGAAGCCGAGGGAGAAAAAUCUAAAGAUAAAAGAAGCCCCAUUAAUUUAUUAAUUAAUUUAUAGGAUUUCAUUCAUCCCACAGGUUUUAACCUUGACUCAAACAUAAAUAGAAUUGAAAAGCAAAAAUCAGUAAGCAAUCACUGAUUGCAGCAGGAACUCACCGAGCUGGCAGAGGCAUACCAAGACUGAAAGUGAAAGGAGCAAGAAUGAACAAAUGGGACCUCAUAAAACUGCAAAGCUUCUGUAAGGCAAAGGACACUGUCAUUAGGACAAAACCACAACCAACAGAUUGGGAAAAGAUCUUUACCAAUCCCACAUGUGAUAGAGGGCUAAUAUCCAAAAUAUGCAAACAACUCAAGAAGGUAGACUCCAGAGAGUCAAAUAACCCCAUUUAAAAAUAGGGUAAAGAGCUAAAAAAAGAAUUCUCAGCUGAGGAAUAUGGAAUGACUGAGAAGUGGCUUAAAGAAAUGUUCAACAUUCUAAGUCAUCAGGGAAAUGCAAAUCAAAUCAAUCCUGAGAUUCCACUUCACAUCAGUCAGAAUGGCUAAGAUAAAAAACUCUGGUGACAACAGAUGCUGGCAAGGAUGUGGAGAAAGAGGAACACUUCUCCAUUGUUGGUGGGAUUGCAAGCUGGUACAACCACUCUGAAAAUCACUCUGGAGGUUCCUCAGAAAAUUGGACAUAGUACUACCUGAAGACCCAGCUAUACCAUUCCUGGGCAUAUACCCACAAGAUGCUCCAACAUAUAACAAGGACAUGCUCCACCAUGUUCAUAGCAGUCCUAUUUAUAAUAGCCAGAAGUUGCAAAGAACCCAGAUGCCUUUCAAUAGAGGAAUGAAUACAGAAAAUGUGGUACAUCUACACAAUGGAAUAUUACUCAGCUAUCAAAAACAACGAGUUUAUGAAAUUCCUCCAGGUAAUCAGGGCUACUGUGAGAAUCCUAUCAGCAGCACUAUACUCCACGGGGAAUGACUGAAAUUACUUCCUCUAACAUCAACAUGGAGCCAAGGGUGACCUUUCCAUCAACUAUUAUUUAAAAUAAGUUUGAGACAUCAGAGCAGUAAGUCAGGAGAAAAAUACAAAAGAGAUACAAACCAGAAAGGAAGAAGUCAAAUUACCCUAUAAGUAGAUGAGAUGCUUCGAUAUUUAAAAUCCCUCGG
ensembl:lncRNA